rnacentral:lncRNA from 1 species
UGAAUAAAAUUAGACAAUUGUCCUAGAUAAAAGUUGAGACAGAGGAGAAAAGUUUGUGUGCACAAGAGAAAAUCCUACAUAGUGACUCAAGAAGAUCUCGAUGAUCCCAAAGGAAAAUAGCUAGUGAUUGACCAUGAUUGCUCAGUGGCAAAGGAAUCGGAGUCCUUGAAAGAUGCCACAUCCAAGGAGAGUAGUGGUAACUUUGUGAAACUAGGGAAGACUUGGGCGUAGGUAACCCAUGGGAGACGGCAGGAUAGGUGGGAGAGCCAAAUUAUUUUAGAAGAUGAGAAUGCUUACUUGGCAUAACAGUUCUCAGAGGAGGUGGUACUCACCGGUGAAGACUACGAAGGUAUGUGUGAACAGUAGAUGACGUCUCUCUCAUUGGGAAGU